UGGGCCGGUGCGGCGGGGGUCUGCGGCGGCGGCGCCUUGCGCGCGGCGCUGCCCACCUUGAGUUCGAUGCUCGGCGGCUCGCC
rnacentral:tRNA from 1 species